AAGCUUGGUCCUGACUUUACUAUCAAUUAAGGCUAAACUUACACAUGCAAGUAUCCGCAUCCCCGUGAGAAUGCCCUUAAACUCCCUUGAAGGAGUUAAGGAGCUGGUAUCAGGCGCAACCUUGAAGUUUGCCCACAACACCUUGCUUGGCCACACCCUCAAGGGAACUCAGCAGUGAUAAACAUUAAGCUAUAAGUGAAAACUUGACUUAGUUAAAGCCAAAAUAGAGCCGGUAAAACUCGUGCCAGCCACCGCGGUUAUACGAGAGGCUCGAGUUGAUAGACACCGGCGUAAAAUGUGGUUAGGAAAUAAAUAAACUAAAGCCGAACAUCUUCAAGGCUGUCAUACGCACCCGAAGAUAUGAAGUACUACUACGAAAGUAGCUUUAAAUAUCCGAACCCACGAAAGCUAGGCCACAAACUGGGAUUAGAUACCCCACUAUGUCUAGCCCUAAACAAAGGUAGCAACCUUACAUCUGCUACUCGCCAGGGAACUACGAGCAUAAGCUUAAAACCCAAAGGACUUGGCGGUGCUUUAGAUCCACCUAGAGGAGCCUGUCCUAGAACCGAUAAUCCCCGUUCAACCUCACCCUUUCUUGUUAUUACCGCUUAUAUACCGCCGUCGUCAGCUUACCCUGUGAAGGGUUAAUAGUAAGCACAACUGGCACAACCCAACACGUCAGGUCGAGGUGUAGCGUAUGAAAGGGGAAGAGAUGGGCUACAUUCACUGUUACAGUGUACACGGAUAACAAGUUGAAACACCCGUUUAAAGGAGGAUUUAGCAGUAAGGAGAAAAGCAGAGCGUUCCCCUGAAACCGGCCCUGAAGCGCGCACACACCGCCCGUCACUCUCCCC
rnacentral:ncRNA from 1 species